UACGUAGGGUGCGAGCGUUGAUCGGAAUUACUGGGCGUAAAGCGUGCGUAGGCGGUUUUGUAAGUCAGGUGUGAAAUCCCCGGGCUUAACCUGGGAAUGGCAUUUGGGACUGCAAGGCUGGAGUGCGGCAGAGGAGACUGGAAUUCCUGGUGUAGCAGUGAAAUGCGUAGAUAUCAGGAGGAACACCGAUGGCGAAGGCAGGUCUCUGGGCUGACACUGACGCUCAUGCACGAAAGCCAGGGGAGCGAACGGG
rnacentral:rRNA from 1 species